rnacentral:misc_RNA from 1 species
GAACGCACCUUGCGCUCUUUGGUAUUCCGAAGAGCAUGCUUGUUUGAGUAUCAGUAAACACCUCAACCUCCUCUUGUUUUUUCAAAAGGAGGGUGGACUUGAGCUAUCCCAACAACCUUCACCGGUAGGCGGGCGGCUUGAAAUGCAGGUGCAGCUGGACUUUCUCCUGAGCUAAAAGCAUAUUUAUUUAGUCCCGUCAAACGGAUUAUUACUUUUGCUGCAGCUAACAUAAAGGGAGUUUGACCGUAUUGGCUGACUGAUGCAGGAUUUCACAAGGGUCGGCAACGAUUCUUGUAAAACUCGAUCUCAAAUCAAGUAAGACUACCCGCUGAACUUAAG